GAUGAACGCUGGCGGCGUGCCUAAUACAUGCAAGUCGAGCGAACAGACGAGGAGCUUGCUCCUCUGACGUUAGCGGCGGACGGGUGAGUAACACGUGGAUAACCUACCUAUAAGACUGGGAUAACUUCGGGAAACCGGAGCUACUACCGGAUAAUAUAUUGAACCGCAUGGUUCAAUAGUGAAAGACGGUUUUGCUGUCACUUAUAGAUGGAUCCGCGCCGCAUUAGCUAGUUGGUAAGGUAACGGCUUACCAAGGCAACGAUGCGUAGCCGACCUGAGAGGGUGAUCGGCCACACUGGAACUGAGACACGGUCCAGACUCCUACGGGAGGCAGCAGUAGGGAAUCUUCCGCAAUGGGCGAGAGCGUGACGGAGCAACGCCGCGUGAGUGAUGAAGGUCUUCGGAUCGUAAAACUCUGUUAUUAGGGAAGAACAAAUGUGUAAGUAACUAUGCACGUCUUGACGGUACCUAAUCAGAAAGCCACGGCUAACUACGUG
rnacentral:rRNA from 1 species